rnacentral:sRNA from 1 species
GCUGGGCAUGGUGGCACAUGCCUGUAACCCCAGUGACUUGGGAGGCUGAGGCAGGAAGAUCUCAAUUUUGAGGCCAGCCUCAG